rnacentral:rRNA from 1 species
CACGGGGGGAGCGAACGUUGUUCGGAAUCACUGGGCGUAAAGGGCGUGUAGGCGGUUCGGUAAGUGGAAUGUGAAAUCCCCCGGCUUACCCGGGGAACUGCAUCCCAUACUGCUGGACUUGAGUGCGGGAGAGGAUGGAGGAAUUCCUGGUGUAGCGGUGAAAUGCGCAGAUAUCAGGAGGAACACCAGUGGCGAAGGCGGGUCUCUGGACAGUUCCUGACACUGAGGCACGAAGGCUAGGGGAGCAAACGGG